rnacentral:snRNA from 1 species
GGAUGUGAGGGCGAUCUGGCUGAAACAUCUGUCACCCCAUUGAUCACCAUGGUUGAUUCGGCUGAUCUGGCUGACUAGGCAGGUGUCCCCUUCCUCCCUCACUGUCCCAUGUGCAUCCCUCCCCAAGUUGCACACUUGGUCAAAGAGGAUAACCAACCCCAAAAGAGAAGGACUAUAACCGGAAAUGGGAG